rnacentral:sRNA from 1 species
ACCUUCGCUGCGCCCUCUUCUCUCAUUGGCACUGCGUGUCUACUGCCGAGGGCGUCUGAGUGUGGGACCCAUGCCCUGCAUUUCUUCGCUACCCCACAGCUUCUGCUCAUCAAUCCAGCUCAAAUGUCAGAAGAAUUGACGUUAGUUUGAGAGACCAAACUAAGUUACAGCCUCUCUGGUUUCUGUUACGCUGGUAGCCUCAAAAUCAAGUGACAAGUGUCUUUGUAAGGGACAAGUAGACACAUUACAGAGAAGACGACACACAGAAAAGGAGGAAGCAGUGUGCUCAUGGAGGCAGAGAUCGGAGUGAUGUAACCGCAAGCCAAGGAAUGCUUAUAGUCACCAGAAGCUGGAAGAGUCAAAGGGCAGAUUCUCCCCUUGAGCCCCAGUGGGAGCACGGCCCUGCUGGAUUUUGGACUUCUGGCCUCCAGAACUAGACAGGGUCUCACUGUGUCACCCAAGGUGGAAUGCAGUGGUGUGAUCAUAGCUCACUGCAUCCUGGAAAUCCUGGGCUCAAGCAACCCUGCCACCUCAACCUCCCAAG